rnacentral:misc_RNA from 1 species
AACCUAGCACACCUGCGGUGUGUACCUGCGGAAGGAUCAUUAUAGAAUUGUUCGAAUCCAUACGGACACAUUCUUAAAAUCCGUAUCCACACCGGCAGGGCUUUCGGGCCUUUGCCGUAGGGUUCCUCUUUUCUCUUUCUCUGUAAGGGAGAGAGAGGGGGGUUCCUGUCUGACCUUUGCCUAUAAUUUUAAUCUUGUCCGAACUUUUUAUUUUAUUAUAAAAUAAAAACAACUUUUAAC